AGGGAAGAGCAAACAAGCCGGGGCCGGCACCUCCCCUGGCAGCGACCCGCGGCUGGCACGGCCAGGCUGCAAUUUGAGGGCAGAGCAGAGGCAGGAACGGCCCCGGCCUCCCCACACCCUCCCCGGGGCCGGGAGAGACGUGUCCGAACGGGCAGCGCGGGGGAGGACCAGGGCCGGGGAGAAGGACCAGCAUCCCGUGCCAAGAGCUGCAUGGAAAGACAAGGGAAAUGUUUUCUUUCGGCUUCUUGGAACGGUGACGUAACGCCGGGGCUGAAGCUUUAGACAAACAAGGUUUUUCAUUCGGACCCGGGCCAAACCCCUCAGCACCCCCAUCCCGAUGCUACAGGCGCCUCCUGGCCGCUGAUGGCUCUGUGGAUCCCCUGUAGGGUCCCUAUCCUCCCUGCCCGGGAUGCAGGAGCUCAGCAUCCCUCACCCCUCGGGCAAGGGAAAGCACAGUAAAACGAGCGGUGGGAAGGGGCGUGAACGCGAUGUUCUGGUGAGCCGGGAAAAGCAAACAGAGCCGUGGGGAAGCCUUGGCAGAGCGGGCUGCAGAUAAACAGGACGGGAUCAGAUUCCAGGUCAGUCUGGGGCAAAGAAGGUUCCGUGCAUGGUGCAGGGCUGGAGGGACCCUCAGCUGGGAAGGAUCCUCAUCCUCCUGUGGGUCUCGGCAGCCCUUGAAGGACACUGGGCAGGGGGGACCCUCAGCCCUGUGAAGAUCCCACCAAAGGGAGAGACCCUCACCCUUUUGAG